AGAAAAGGGAGAAAUUUAAAAUAGAGAGGAGCCACACGAUUGUGAGAAAAACCAGUUCUAGAAACGGCUUCAGAUCGGAAAUCAUCUGAGGCAUUGAAGAAGGGAAAAACAUUGGAGAAGUAGCUGGUCUGACUUCAGUUCUUCGGUGGAGCAAGUGUACCAUCGACUUCGACUCGCCCUCAGCUCUAGCCAGUCUCUCGCACAUCAGAUUUCAGGGUGAGCUAUUCCCUCUAGCUCGUGCUGGAUUCUCUCAGUUAUGGUGUGAUGUCCUUGA